AAUCAACGCUGGCGGCGUGCCUCAGACAUGCAAGUCGAACGAUUAAGACUUCCUUCGGGAAGUGCAUAAAGUGGCGCACGGGUGAGUAACACGUAAGUAAUCUACCUUCGAGUGGGGAAUAACGUUCGGAAACGAACGCUAAUACCGCAUAAUGCAGCGGCAUCGCAAGAUGACAGUUGUUAAAGGAUUUAUUUCGCUUGAAGAGGAGCUUGCGGCAGAUUAGCUAGUUGGUAAGGUAACGGCUUACCAAGGCUACGAUCUGUAUCCGGUCUAAGAGGACGGUCGGACACACUGACACUGAAUAACGGGUCAGACUCCUACGGGAGGCAGCAGUCGGGAAUUUUGGGCAAUGGGCGAAAGCCUGACCCAGCAACGCCGCGUGAAGGAUGAAGUAUUUCGGUAUGUAAACUUCGAAAGAAUGGGAAGAAUAAAUGACGGUACAUUUAUAAGCUCCGGCUAACUACGCGCCAGCAGCCGCGGUAAU
rnacentral:rRNA from 1 species